rnacentral:rRNA from 1 species
AUUGAGCGCUGGCGGCAUGCUUUACACAUGCAAGUCGAACGGUAACAGGCCGCAAGGUGCUGACGAGUGGCGAACGGGUGAGUAAUGCAUCGGAACGUGCCCAGUCGUGGGGGAUAACUACUCGAAAGAGUAGCUAAUACCGCAUACGAUCUAUGGAUGAAAGCGGGGGACCGUAAGGCCUCGCGCGAUUGGAGCGGCCGAUGUCAGAUUAGGUAGUUGGUGGGGUAAAGGCUCACCAAGCCAACGAUCUGUAGCUGGUCUGAGAGGACGACCAGCCACACUGGGACUGAGACACGGCCCAGACUCCUACGGGAGGCAGCAGAGGGGAAUUUUGGACAAUGGGCGCAAGCCUGAUCCAGCAAUGCCGCGUGCAGGAAGAAGGCCUUCGGGUUGUAAACUGCUUUUGUACGGAACGAAACGGCUCUGGUUAAUACCCGGGGCUAAUGACGGUACCGUAAGAAUAAGCACCGGCUAACUACGUG